GAUGAACGCUAGCGGCAGGCCUAAUACAUGCAAGUCGAACGGGAUCCAGAUCAAAGCUUGCUUUGGUUUGGUGAGAGUGGCGUACGGGUGCGUAACGCGUGAGCAACCUACCCUUGUCAGGGGGAUAGCCCGGCGAAAGUCGGAUUAAUACCGCAUGACAUCAUUGAGAGGCAUCUUUCGAUGAUCAAAGAUUUAUCGGACAAGGAUGGGCUCGCGUGACAUUAGCUAGUUGGUAAGGUAACGGCUACCAAGGCUACGAUGUCUAGGGGCUCUGAGAGGAGAAUCCCCCACACUGGUACUGAGACACGGACCAGACUCCUACGGGAGGCAGCAGUAAGGAAUAGUGGUCAAUGGACGGAAGUCUGAACCAGCCAUGCCGCGUGCAGGAAGACGGCCCUAUGGGUUGUAAACUGCUUUUAUACGGGAACAAACGUCGGUACGUGUACCGGUCUGAGUGUACCGUAAGAAUAAGGAUCGGCUAACUCCGUG
rnacentral:rRNA from 1 species